rnacentral:rRNA from 1 species
UCCUGAGUAGCGGCGAGCGAAACGGAAUUAGCCCAAACCAAGAGGCUUGCCUCUUGGGGUUGUAGGACACUCUAUACGGAGUUACAAAGGAAUGAAGUAAAUGAAGCGACCUGGAAAGGUCCGUCGAAGAAGGUAACAACCCUGUAGUUGAAACCUCGUUCCCUCUUGAGUGGAUCCUGAGUACGGCGGAACACGUGAAAUUCCGUCGGAAUCUGGGAGGACCAUCUCCCAAGGCUAAAUACUACCUAGUGACCGAUAGUGAACCAGUACCGUGAGGGAAAGGUGAAAAGCACCCCGGAAGGGGAGUGAAAAAGAUCCUGAAACCGUGUGCCUACAAGUAGUCAGAGCCCGUUAACGGGUGAUGGCGUGCCUUUUGUAGAAUGAACCGGCGAGUUACGAUCCCAUGCAAGGUUAAGCCGAUAAGGCGGAGCCGCAGCGAAAGCGAGUCUGAAUAGGGCGUUUAGUA